AGGAGAUCGAGGCUAUCCUGGCUAACACCGUGAAACCCCAUCUCUACUAAAAAUAAAUAAAUAAAUAAAUAAAUAAGCAAGCUGAAAAGAAGGGGUGGAGGCUUUGCUAGAGACUUGACCAGGUGAUUUAUAAAAGAUCUCUAAGGAGCCAAUACACUUAUGUAAAUAUACUUAACCUUAUUAGUAUAGUGGAUUACAAGGGGUUUCAGGGGGUCCAUGCACAGUCUUGUAAGAUGGGCAGAGACAGCGGCCCGGAGCCAGGCACAGCAACAGGUCCCGAGUGCAGGGCGAAUGCCUGCCAGAGGGGUUUGUCUGUUUCUUUUUCAUUCUUUUGCUGAAUUUAUCUUUUGUGAACAAAUCACAUGGUAAUGCAAAUGAAAUCAGAGAAAUGCCAACGAAAACCAGAAUGAGAUAAUAAACAUUAUAUACCCAUUAGCAAUAUUGAAAUUGGAAAUAUGGCAGGCCACGAGUUGGGUGUGGAGCAACUGGAAUUCUGAUACACACAGGUGGGAGUGUGAAUUGCUAUGAACAUGUCAGGAGACUGUGUGGCCUUAUCCCCUAAAGGUGGAGAUACCAUAACCCUACGAUCCAGCAGUUCUAUCCCUAGGUAUGUACCCAGCAGACACACACAACUGUAUCCCAAGAGACAUGCUCCAUGCUGCCCAUAACAGCAUUUUUCAUAACAGCCAAAUCUGCCAACAGCCCCAAUAUCCUUCAACAGUAGAAUAAAUUUGUAUAUUCAUAAAAUGGAAAUAUACCAUGAUAAUGAAUCAACUAGAGCAGGAAGUCAACACAUGCUACAGCCUGGGGCCUGCUUUUGCAUAGCUUUCAAACUAAGGAUAGUUAAAGGAUUAUAAAAGUAAAAAAAAAAAAAGAAAAAGAAAAGAAAAGAAAGAAAGCAAACUGUGCAGCAGAGAUGACAGGUGGCUCGCAAAGCCUCAAACAUUUGCCAUGUGGCCCUCUACCAAAAAGGUCUGCCAACCCCUGCUACAGACCAGGCGCACUAUGAAUGACAUCACAGUGUUGACUGCAUCCUAAACAGACACAUCCCAUUUAUAUAAAGUUUAAAAAUAACAGGCAAAACUAGGCUGAGUGUUUGGGGGUGCAAAUGAACCAGCCCUGAUGUGUGCAAAUGUUUGUCCAGGCACAGGUAUCUCACACUCGGUCAAUCAUCAGACUCGCCUGAGGUUUCAAAUCACCCUUGAGCACAGGUUCAUCCCCAUCCGAUGACAUCCAAAUCCCUGGCGGUGACUCCCAGUCAGCAGCAUGUCCUCAGAGCAUCCCAGGAACUUCCAACAAGCAAUCAGAUAACCAGAAAUUGGUCGGGUGCAGUGGUUCAUGCCUGUAAUCCCAGCACUUUGGGAGGCCGAUGUGGGCAGAUCACCUGAGGUCAGGAGUUCAAGACCAGCCUGGCCAACCUGUCUCUACUAAAAAUACAAAAAUUAGCCAUGUGUGGUGAUGGACGCCUGUAAUCCCAGCUACUUGGGAGGCUGAGGCAGGAGAAUCACUUGAACCCGGGAGGCAGAGGUUGCAAUAAGCCCAGAUCACGCCACUGCACUGCAGCCUGGGCAACAGAGCAAGACUCCGUCUCAAAAAAAAAGAGAACCAGAAAUUAUUCAACAUCCGAGCAGCUGCUGUGCUUCUUCUCCCAGCCAUGGUGAAGCUCAGAAAUGAUGGCGUCUCCUUCUAGUGGCUGCUAGUGGAUUACAAGGGGUUUCAGGGGGUCCAUGCACAGUCUUGUAAGAUGGGCAGAGACAGCGGCCCGGAGCCAGGCACAGCAACAGGUCCCGAGUGCAGGGCGAAUGCCUGCCAGUGGGGUUUGUCUGUUUCUUUUUCAUUCUUUUGCUGAAUUUAUCUUUUGUGAACAAAUCACAUAGUAAAUGCUGAUAGUUUAAAAUAUAUAUGUGUGCGUGUGUGGUUAAUAAAUUUUCAAAAGUUAAAUUGUCAAAUAGUAUUGUCUUUAUUAAGUACAACUAGUUUGUUCAUAUAAAAAGUAAUCGUAACGUUUUCC
rnacentral:lncRNA from 10 species